CGAGGCGAACCGGGGAAACUGAAACAUCUCAGUACCCCGAGGAAAAGAAAUCAACCGAGAUUCCCCCAGUAGCGGCGAGCGAACGGGGAGCAGCCCAGAGUCAACAUCAAUAUUUACCACAGGAGAAGGGUCUGGAAAGGCCGGCAAUAAAGGGUGAUAGCCCCGUAUCUGAAGCGGUAAGUGUUGUGAACUCGAAGAGUAGGGCGGGACACGUGUUAUCCUGUCUGAAUAUGGGGGGACCAUCCUCCAAGGCUAAAUACUCCUGACUGACCGAUAGUGAACCAGUACCGUGAGGGAAAGGCGAAAAGAACCCCGGCAAGGGGAGUGAAAUAGAACCUAAAACCGUGUACGUACAAGCAGUGGGAGCACCCGAAAGGGUGUGACUGCGUACCUUUUGUAUAAUGGGUCAGCGACUUAUAUUCUGUAGCAAGGUUAACCGCAUAGGGGAGCCGUAGGGAAACCGAGUCUUAACUGGGCGUUAAGUUGCAGGGUAUAGACCCGAAACCCGGUGAUCUAGCCAUGGGCAGGUUGAAG
rnacentral:rRNA from 1 species